UCCUGAAGUCCUGCGGCACCAGUGCUCA
rnacentral:piRNA from 1 species